rnacentral:rRNA from 1 species
AGCAGCCGCGGUAAUUCCAGCUCCAAUAGCGUAUAUUAAAGUUGUUGCAGUUAAAAAGCUCGUAGUUGAAUUUCGGGGUCAAUACGUCGGUCGUGCCUUCGGUACGUACUGGUGUUAUUGAUCUCUCCCUUCUGAUGAAUCAUGAUGUCAUUAAUUUGGUGUCGUGGGGAGUCAGGACUGUUACUUUGAAAAAAUUAGAGUGUUUAAAGCAGGCUCACGCUUGAAUACAUUAGCAUGGAAUAAUGAAAUAGGACGUUUGAUUCUAUUUUGUUGGUUUCUAGGAUCGACGUAAUGAUUAAUAGGGAUAGUUGGGGGCAUUAGUAUUCAAUUGUCAGAGGUGAAAUUCUUGGAUUUAUUGAAGACUAACUACUGCGAAAGCAUUUGCCAAGGAUGUUUUCAUUAAUCAAGAACGAAAGUUAGGGGAUCGAAGACGAUCAGAUACCGUCGUAG